AGAACGAACGCUGGCGGCAUGCCUAAUACAUGCAAGUCGAACGAACUCUUCGGAGUUAGUGGCGCACGGGUGCGUAACGCGUGGGAAUCUGCCCCUUGGUUCGGAAUAACAGUUGGAAACGACUGCUAAUACCGGAUGAUGACGAAAGUCCAAAGAUUUAUCGCCAAGGGAUGAGCCCGCGUAGGAUUAGCUAGUUGGUGAGGUAAAGGCUCACCAAGGCAACGAUCCUUAGCUGGUCUGAGAGGAUGAUCAGCCACACUGGGACUGAGACACGGCCCAGACUCCUACGGGAGGCAGCAGUAGGGAAUAUUGGACAAUGGGCGAAAGCCUGAUCCAGCAAUGCCGCGUGAGUGAUGAAGGCCGUUAGGUUGUAAGCUCUUUACCCGAGAUGAUAAUGACAGUAUCGGAAGUUUUAAGAACGUACCCCGGACUAACCGUACCGU
rnacentral:rRNA from 1 species